UACGGAGGGUGCAAGCGUUAAUCGGAAUUACUGGGCGUAAAGGGUGCGUAGGUGGUUUGAUAAGUUAGCUGUGAAAGUCCUGGGCUUAACCUGGGGAUGUCAGCUAAGACUGUUAGACUAGGAGUAUAGGAGAGGGUAGUGGAAUUUCCGGUGUAGCGGUGAAAUGCGUAGAGAUCGGAAGGAACACCAGUGGCGCAGGCGGCUACCUGGCCUAAUACUGACACUGAGGCACGAAAGCGUGGGGAGCAAACAGG
rnacentral:rRNA from 1 species